rnacentral:rRNA from 1 species
UACAGAGGGGGCAAGCGUUAUUCGGAAUUAUUGGGCGUAAAGGGCGCGUAGGCGGCCUGGCAAGUGGAAGGUGAAAUCCCUCGGCUUAACCGAGGAACUGCCUCCCAAACUGCUUGGCUUGAGACCGGGAGAGGUGAGUGGAAUUCCCAGUGUAGCGGUGAAAUGCGUAGAUAUUGGGAGGAACACCAGUGGCGAAGGCGGCUCACUGGACCGGUACUGACGCUGAUGCGCGAAGGCCAGGGGAGCAAACGGG